GAUGAACGCUGGCGGCGUGCCUAAUACAUGCAAGUCGAGCGAACGGACGAGAAGCUUGCUUUUCUGAUGUUAGCGGCGGACGGGUGAGUAACACGUGGAUAACCUACCUAUAAGACUGGGAUAACUUCGGGAAACCGGAGCUAAUACCGGAUAAUAUUUUGAGCCGCAUGGUUCAAAAGUGAAAGACGGUCUUGCUGUCACUUAUAGAUGGAUCCGCGCUGCAUUAGCUAGUUGGUAAGGUAACGGCUUACCAAGGCAACGAUGCAUAGCUGACCUGAGAGGGUGAUCGGCCACACUGGAACUGAGACACGGUCCAGACUCCUACGGGAGGCAGCAGUAGGGAAUCUUCCGCAAUGGGCGAAAGCCUGACGGAGCAACGCCGCGUGAGUGAUGAAGGUCUUCGGAUCGUAAAACUCUGUUAUUAGGGAAGAACAUAUGUGUAAGUAACUGUGCACAUCUUGACGGUACCUAAUCAGAAAGCCACGGCUAACUACGUG
rnacentral:rRNA from 1 species